UAAGCCAGGCUCCGGGUGGCACGCUGGUAAUCUCAGUACUGGAGACCAGGGGAGGACGAUGUUCAAUACCUUCCUGAACUCCAUACCACAAGACUCAUUGGACCAGGCCUACUAAUACCCCUAUGAGAGGAAGGUGCAUAUUCAGGAGCAAGUUGACCAGAAGGAGGACUCUUCCAUUACUGAAGCUGCCUAUAGUGGUCCAAGGAACUCCUCGGGGUGCAGGGUGCAGGUUCUUUGUGAAUCACCCAUUCUGCAGGUGAGGUUUUUAAUUUGUAUAGUUGCCCAUAAACUGCCCAAGGGACUUCCUGGUGAUGUAACUGCCUUUGAGUCACCCAUGUACCUGUAAGUGGCCUCAAUAAACUCAAUGGUUCACUAAGCUGAA